rnacentral:rRNA from 1 species
GACGUAGGUGGCGAACGUUAUCCGGAAUUAUUGGGCGUAAAGGGUGCGUAGGUGGUCUGAUAAGUUAUCAGUGGCAAAUCGAGGCUCAACCUCGUGGAAACUGGUAAUACUGUCCGGCUUGAGUGCAGGAGAGGUUAAUGGAACUCUAUGUGGAGCGGUAAAAUGCACAGAUAUAUAGAAGAACAUCAAUAACGGCGAAGGCAGUUAACCAUUCUGUUACUGACACUGAGGCACGAAAGCGUGGGGAGCAAAACGG